rnacentral:tmRNA from 1 species
GCCCUUGCGAAAACCCCUCUGGAAUCACUAUAUUAGGGGUGCCGGUUUACCGGUUAUGGCGAUAAACGUUUGACGGAAUAAGCGUUACGGACCCGGGGGCAGUACCCGGCGCCUCCACCAAUUCCUUUCCCUCCCACCCAAUCGGGAGGGAAUUCGCGGGGGCGAAACAGGAUCGACGUGCGUGAUAAAGGUUGAAUUUUCGCUCGGCAUGGCACCACCGUUAUCGGGCCAAAAGCAAUAGUUGCUAAUGAUAACUAUGCUCAGGCUCGUCUUGCCGCUUAACGCGGUCGGAUGAUCCGAUUUUAAGUCCCCGGCCCUUGAGCUGGCCGAGGCGGGGUUCGGGAGGCGCCUGGCAACAGAAGCCUCCCACU